rnacentral:lncRNA from 1 species
UCGUACUCUUACGACAAAUUGAUUUCUUUAUUUCAGAAAAUAAUUAGAAUAGUGUGUGUAUUUUUAACUAACAUGUAUGUACGUAGAGAUGCUACGUAUGCGUAGUAUUAGAAAUAAUAACAUAUAGAUGGCAAAACACUAAUAAUAACAUUAAAAAAAAAAAAGGAAGAUGGAGUGGGAGUAAUGGUAGAGAGAGGAGAGACGAAGGCUGGAGGGAGCCGUAGAUUCCGUGAGAGCCAGGCUUGCACUCUCAUGACCUUAUUUUACUUUACACAUUCG